GGGCCGGUCGUCUAGUCUGGUAGGAUACCGCUUUGGCAUGGCGGGGGUCGGGGGUUCAAAUCCCCCCCGGUCCA
rnacentral:tRNA from 1 species